UCCUACUUAUCAUAGGCAGUUUCCUUAGAGUUCCCAGCAUUACCUGUUGGCAACUAAGGACGAGGGUUGCGCUCGUUGCGGGACUUAACCCAACAUCUCACGACACGAGCUGACGACAGCCAUGCAGCACCUGUGUGUUAGCCAGCCGAACUGAAGAAAUCCAUCUCUGGAAAUCAAACUAACCAUGUCAAGGCCUGGUAAGGUUCUUCGCGUUGCCUCGAAUUAAACCACAUGCUCCACCGCUUGUGCGGGUCCCCGUCAAUUUCUUUGAGUUUUAAUCUUGCGACCGUACUCCCCAGGCGGAUUGCUUAAUGCGUUAGCGACGUCACUGAGGGGGAACCCCCCAACAACUAGCAAUCAUCGUUUACAGCGUGGACUAC
rnacentral:misc_RNA from 1 species